rnacentral:rRNA from 1 species
AUGAAAGAUCAAUUCGCCAGCCUUCCUAGUGAAGAUGCCGCUACUCAUCUAAACAAUUUUGUUGAUUUGUGUGAUAUGCAAAAGAAGAAAGAUACGGAUAACAAUAUUGUCAAACUGAAGUUAUUUCCGUUUUCACUUAGAGAUCGUGCUAAAGUUUGGUUUUCGUCUUUGCCUAAAAAUAGUAUUGAUUCUUGGAACAAGUGCAAAGAUGCUUUUAUCUCUAAGUAUUUUCCUCCCGCUAAGAUCAUCACUCUUAGGAACGAUAUUAUGAAUUUUAAACAACUUGAUCAUGAGCAUGUUGCCCAAUCUUGGGAAAGAAUUAAAUUGAUGCUUCGCAAUUGCCCUACUCAUGGUUUGAAUUUAUGGAUGAUCAUACAAAAUUUUUAUGCCGGAUUGAAUUUUGCUUCUAGAAAUCUUUUAGAUUGGUCGCGGGAGGCACGUUUCUGGAAAUUAUGUUAG